rnacentral:rRNA from 1 species
GCAAGUCGAACGAUGAAGCCUUAGCUUGCUAAGGUGGAUUAGUGGCGCACGGGUGAGUAAUAUAUAGAUAAUGUGCCUCUUAGUCUGGGAUAGCCAUUGGAAACGAUGAUUAAUACUAGAUACUCCUUCUAAGCUCAAGCUUAGUCGGGAAAGUUUUUCGCUAAGAGAUCAGUCUAUAUCGCAUCAGUUAGUUGGUAGGGUAAUGGCCUACCAAGACAAUGACGCGUAGCGGGUUUGAGAGGAUGAUC